UUAAAUGCAUUAAGAAAAACGAUUGUAUAUAUCAAUGAUUUUACAUCAAAAGUAACAUCGUAUAGAAAUAUAUCAUAUUAUACAUUUUAUGAGUUACCACAUGUAGAGAAUCGACCUUGGCUGCUUCUUGUAACAAGUAAAUCGACACAACAAUAUGUUGGGCGAGUCCUCUCCAAACCGGAGACAAACUCUAUAUCACUAUGAAUCGAAAACGUUACAAGCUUCGCACUAGUUGCGUGUUCUAUGCUUUAGAGAGUAUUUAUGUUUCUGUGUUUUGCAAUCUCGAGUAGAGACCUCUAUUUAUACUAGACCUAAUCAUGUUAAUCCUUGUUGCAUAAGGAAUAACAUAUGUCCUAAAACUAUAAGGAAUUACAUUCUUUAUCGGACUUAGACUAAUCCAUAUUCUUUAUGUCUUGUUUCAGGUCCAAAACCGAAGCCCAUAAGCAGCCCACCAGAUGGCCCAAGAGACACAAGCCUCACAUUCUCCACCUUGACUCUUUGGCCUCACUCGUCGACUUCUCCGUCUCUCUCUCUUUCUCCUUUGGCGACCAGAAGCUUCGACGAGCUCACCGCUUCGUCUUCUCCGACGAUCGUCUGUUCCUCAACGCCGUCUUCACGGAGAUGCAUGCCUUCUCCGAUUCUCGCUCCUCUCUAUCUCGCCCCGGCUGUAACGUCUCUCUCCUUCGAUUCCCCGUGAUCAAGACAAGAUCCCGACUUCACCGCCGCUCGUCUUCACCGGCGAUUGCUCUCACCGCCUUCACCAUUGAAAAUCCAGGUUCCGUUUGCUCUUCUCAUGUCUUUUUCCUUAGACAUCGACCAAACCUUAACCUUUGAUUUCAAUUUCUUUCCAGCUUGUCCCUUGAUGAAAUCAAUAAAAAAUCCCUUGAGUCUUCGUGUUCUUCCGGUGAAUCCUACACCACACGACCUUCAUACGGACCAAAUCAGACACGUCAAAUUUCAAAAGGUAACUCCUUUUGUUUUGACUUUUUCUUCUUCCUGUAGACAUCCGUGUCUUCAUGCUCUCUUAAAGAAAACCUGUAAUGAAAGAUUCAUUUGCUGAAAAAUUAAACUUAUUCCUUGUUUAAUUUCCACAGCUUAUGGUGCUGACGUCUCUUCACCACUUCACUUCCAUUAGGUAAUCAAACAGAGUUGUUUCUUCAAUCCCUUUAAGAGCUUUGAAUCUGUGAACUAAUAACCUUGUAUUCACAGCUUUGUUGUAGACGUUUCCUUGCUACAGUCACACGUAUCCUUCAGGUAUGACAUCUGAUUCUGCUUCUUUAUAAUGGUGUCUCAACUUCUGUUGAAGCUUAUUAUCCUGCAAAUUCAUUCGGUUGACUAGUAUUUGAACUAACUUUGCAGAUUCCUUGUGUAGACAACUCCUGUCUACAGUCACCAUUCUUCAAAGGUAAUAAAAAAUUUUUUUCUUCUUGAACUCAUCCCAAGCCUUUUAUAACUCCCUGUCGAAAAAACAUCAGUUUUCUUUUCUCGAAACUGAUACAUUUUGUGGCCUUUCCGCGAGGUGAUCACUUCGACAGCUGUGUCACUUGCAGCCACCGAGACCUACUAAGGCAGAACCUUGAGGAUCUCCAAGCAUGUCUCGAACUUCUGUCCAGGUACACACUUAGUUAGAAAAUCUGCAGGGUUGAUAGAUGUGUGAAUCUUGUGAACCGUAACGUCGCCAGCCUCAAUUACGUCUCUCAUAAAGUGUAGUCUAGUAUCUAUAUGCUUAGUCCUUUCAUGGAAUCCUCCAUUCUUAGCUAAGUGUAUAGCACUUUGAGAAUCUGAAAACACUCUCACAUCAUCUUGCUUGAAUCCCAAUUCACUAACAAACCCCUUAAGCCAUAAUGCUUCUUUAAAAGCUUCGGCUAAUGCCAUGUAUUCUGAUUCUGUCGUUGAUAGUGCGACAAUAUGUUGGAGACCUGAUCUCCAGCUUAUUGUGUUGCCUCCGACUUGAAACACAUAUCCUGUCACAGAUCUUCUUCUGUCCAAAUCGGUUGCGUAGUCUGCGUCACAGAAUCCUUGUACUUUGAACUCUUCUCCUUUAGUAAACAAUAGAUCCGAAUCUAGAGCUCCUUUAAGAUAUCUCAUCACCCACUUAACAGCUUCCCAGUGUAUUCUUCCUGGCUUGCUCAUAUAACGGCUGAUUAAGCCUACUGCGAAACAUAAGUCUGGUCUAGAUCCCACCAUUGCAUACAUUAAACUUCCAACGGCUGAUGCGUAUGGAAUCACGUUCAUGAACCUUGCUUCCUCGUGCUCUUCCUUUUGUGUCAAACUUUUAAGCUUAAAUUGUGGUCCGAUAGGAGUAACCACAGCUUUGCUCUCUGCCAUGUUAAAAGUUUCCAGCACCUUCUGUAGAUACUUCCCUUGCGAUAGUUUUAGAGUUCCUUUCUUCCUGUCUCUAAUAAUAUCCAUUCCAAGUAUUCUUGAAGCUGCUCCAAGGUCCUUCAUCUCAAACUCUCUCUUCAAGCUAUCUUUGAUUCUUUUAAUUUCUUUAGAAUCCUUAGAUGCUAUGAGCAUGUCAUCAACAUAGAUCAAGAGAUAAACCAUAUGAGAUAAAUCUGAACCUUUCAUGUAGACACAAGGAUCAUAUGCACUUCUUUCGAAGCCUUGUUGCUUCAUGAAACUAUCAAAUCUCCUAUUCCACUGUCUUGGUGACUGUUUUAAUCCGUAAAGGGAUUUCAACAGGAGACAAACUUGAUCUUCUUUUCCUUCCUCAACGAAACCUUCUGGCUGUGCCAUAAAAAUCUCCUCGUCUAACGUUCCGUACAGGAAAGCCGUUUUCACGUCUAGUUGUUCCAAAUCUAGAUCAUAAUUUGCAACAAGUGACAACAUAAUUCUAAUCGACACGUGUUUCACCACUGGUGCAAACACCUCUGUGUAGUCGAUCCCUUCAACUUGUGAAAACCCUUUAGCUACUAAUCUAGCUUUGUAUCUCGGCUUCUCAAUUCCAGGAAUGCGAAUGCCUUCUUUCAGCUUGAAAACCCACUUGCUGCCAAUAAUCUUCUUUUUCUCUGGUUUCUCAACCAGCUUCCAAGUCUGAUUUUUCUCCAAUGAAUCCAUCUCUUCUUGCAUUCCCUCGUUCCAUAACUUCCAGUUCUUACUCCUUCUUGCUUCCAAAUAGGAUUUAGGCUCAUCCUUAUUUAUUUCUUCUGCUGUAGCUAGAGCAUAAGCCACGCAAUCUGAAUCAUCAAACCUAGAAGGUUUCUUUACUUCUCUUCUGAUUCUAUCUCUAGCAAGAAUGUAGUUGUCUAGAUUUUCCUGUUGAGCUCCCACAACUUCUUCUUCUCUUUCUGAGCUUGAAGAUUCAGGUUCCGAGUUUUCUGAUGGUGGAGAAGCUCCACCUUGAACUAUAUCCUCUGUCUCAGUGUCUGUAGUUGUGUUUGAAGGUCCUUGAAUCAGCACAGGAUUGAACAUUACCUUUUUUGUUUUCCUUUUCUUCUCGCUGACUCCCUUAAUGUCUUUAAACAUCUCUUCCUCAUUGAAAAUCACAUUUCUGCUCACUGUACAUCUUAGCUCUUCUGGUAACCACACUCGAUAACCUUUAGUCCCCUCUGGAUAUCCCAUGAAAACUCCUUUCAUUGCUCUUGGACUGGUUUUGGCCUGAGUCACGUGAACAUAAGCUGUACACCCGAACUUCCUUAGAUGAUUUAAGUCUGUUUUGGUUCCAGACCAAACCUCUGCCGGUAGUUUGAAGUUAAUAGCUGUACUAGGAGAUCGGUUGAUUAAGUAGACAGCUGUAGAAGCCGCUUCCGCCCAGAACUUUUGCUCUAAGCCUGCCUCUGUCAACAUACAUCUUACCUUCUCCAUAAUAGUACGGUUCAUGCGUUCUGAUACUCCGUUUUGCUGUGGAGUAUAGACGCAUGUUCUGUGUCUUUUAAUCCCUGCUUCCUUACACAAUGUGUCCAUCUGUGUAUUGCAGAACUCUAAUCCGUUAUCCGUCCUUAGACACUUCACCUUCUUUCCUGUCUCAGUUUCUACGCAUGUUUUCCAUUCCUUGAAGUUUUGAAACACUUCAUUCUUUGAUCUUAGGAAAUAGAUCCAAACUUUCCUAGAAAAAUCAUCAAUGAAUGUAACAAAAUAGAAACAUCCUCCGAGACUCUCUACCACCGAAGGUGAACCCCAUAAAUCUGAAUGGAUGUACUCUAGGACUUCGUUAGAAGUGUGCUUGCCUUUUGGAAAGCUUAGCUUGUGUGCUUUACCCAGAACACAAUUCUCGCAAAACUCUAAUGUCUUCACAUCCUUUGCGUUUAAAUAUCCUUCCUUGACUAGAAUAUUCAUGCCCUUUAGACUCAUAUGUCCAAGCCUAGAGUGCCACCUUUUAGUCAAAUCGAUAUCAGGCCUUGCGACUGCAGCUUCACCAUCCAAUACUGUUCCUUGUAAGUAGUACAGACCAUCGCAGUAUUUUCCAGAAAUAACCUUCUGAUCUCCUUUGUAAAACUGCACCAUGAAGUUUUCGCCUUCGUAUCUGCAUCCCAUCUUCUCCAAUAAACCGUAGGAGAUAAGGUUUCUGCCCAUUGUAGGCAUGUAACGAACAUCAGUGAGAAUCACACUCGAUCCAUCAUUAUUCAUGAUCCUGAUCUUUCCGAUCCCUUUAAUCUCGCUGAUAGUGUUAUUUCCCAUCAAAACCUUUCCUCCUUCUAUGUCUUCAAGAUCAAAUAAGACAUCUUUAUUUGGGGUGAUAUGGAAUGUACAGCCAGAAUCAAGUACCCACUCGUCUUUAGUAGCUUGCUGGCUAGCUACUAAUACUAAUGGUUCCUCCUUCUCUUCUGCUAUGUUGACAGAGUUUGAUGGCUUCUUUCUUUCUGGACACUGCUUUUUAAAAUGUCCUUCCUUGCCACAUGUCCAACAUUCUUUAGAGAACUUAGGUCUUGAUUUUGAUCUGUUAUUGCUUUUAGAUCUAGCUCUCCAAGUCUUAUCGUUCUUCUUCUCACCUCUGCCUCUGUUUUCGCCAGCAAACAGCCCCUCCGAGUUAUUUUUAGACUUGUUAAGAAGUCCCUUCUCCCUUAAUUCUACUUCCUUAGAAUAGGCAGAACUUGUAACAUCUCGAACUGUUAAAGUCUCCUUCCCGCUUCCAUACUUGAGAGCAUCCACGAGAGACUCAUACUGCUUAGGCAAGCUUGUUAGAAUCUGAAUAGCUUGGUCUUCUUCGCUAAUCUUGAUAUCCAGACUAGCUAGAUCAGCCACAAGUUUCAGGAACACAUCUAAAUUUUCCUCAAUAGACUUAUGUUCAUCCAUUCUGAAACCUGCAUAUCUUUGCUUCAUGUAGAUUCGAUUAGGUAACGUCUUGGUUUGAUACUCGGCUUCUAGAGCCUUCCACAUAGCUAAUGCUGUUGUCUCGUGCAUGACUUUGCGUAGUAUGAGAUCAGAUAGACAGACACUGAUCAGGUUCUUGGUACGCAAUUCCUUGUCUUGCUCUUUAGGAUCAAGUUUAGUAUCCUUCUGUUCUUCACCUUCAACCACCGUAGAAGGAUCUCUCUCCUUAAGAACAGACCCCAAACCAAAAAUCUCUAACUGACAUAGCAUCUUGUAUUUCCAUAGACCAAAGUCACCCUUCCCAUCGAACUUCUCCACUUCAAAUUUCUUUGAUGUUGCUUCCAUCUCUCUAUUAACCCGAAAACUAUUUGUUUCUUUGUUUGCAGGUUGAUGUAACACGCCCUGACCUUCAAGCUUCAAUAACCACGAGCUGAGACCCUCUUACCACACCAGAUAAGUAUUCUGCUUGUUUGUUUUAUUGAAUCUUGCCUUCGAAUCUCUGUACUUGGAUCUAGGUUAGCCUUAGCUCUGAUACCACUUGUAGAGAAUCGACCUUGGCUGCUUCUUGUAACAAGUAAAUCGACACAACAAUAUGUUGGGCGAGUCCUCUCCAAACCGGAGACAAACUCUAUAUCACUAUGAAUCGAAAACGUUACAAGCUUCGCACUAGUUGCGUGUUCUAUGCUUUAGAGAGUAUUUAUGUUUCUGUGUUUUGCAAUCUCGAGUAGAGACCUCUAUUUAUACUAGACCUAAUCAUGUUAAUCCUUGUUGCAUAAGGAAUAACAUAUGUCCUAAAACUAUAAGGAAUUACAUUCUUUAUCGGACUUAGACUAAUCCAUAUUCUUUAUGUCUUGUUUCAGGUCCAAAACCGAAGCCCAUAAGCAGCCCACCAGAUGGCCCAAGAGACACAAGCCUCACACCACAUAUCAAAGAAAAAAUGCAAACCGAUAUUUUCAUUAUAAUUAGCUCAAUCAUUUUAAUUUUAUAUUCAUCUUCCAAUUUCAUAAACUAAUAGCUGGUGGGUGCUUCUUUCCAUUGGUGAGUUAGUUUUGAAAUUUAUGCAUAU
rnacentral:lncRNA from 1 species